UCCUGGCUAGCUUAGUUGGCAGAGCGCUCCACUGGAAAUGGAGAGGUCAUGGGUUCGAAACUCGGACUAGGCG
rnacentral:tRNA from 1 species